rnacentral:piRNA from 1 species
UCUCGUCUUCUGGUUCUUGAC